UACAGAGGGGGCAAGCGUUGUUCGGAAUUACUGGGCGUAAAGGGCGCGUAGGCGGUGUGUCAAGUCAGGCGUGAAAGCCCCGGGCUCAACCUGGGAACCGCGCUUGAGACUGGCACGCUAGAGUUCGGGAGAGGAUGGUGGAAUUCCCAGUGUAGAGGUGAAAUUCGUAGAUAUUGGGAAGAACACCGAUGGCGAAGGCAGCCAUCUGGACCGACACUGACGCUGAGGAGCGAAAGCGUGGGGAGCGAACCGG
rnacentral:rRNA from 1 species